GGUGGUUCAGUGGUAGAAUUCUCACCUUCUAUACUAGAGACCUGGGUUCGAUUCCCAGCC
rnacentral:tRNA from 1 species